UACGUAGGGUGCGAGCGUUAAUCGGAAUUACUGGGCGUAAAGCGUGCGCAGGCGGUUUUGUAAGCCAGAUGUGAAAAUCCCCGGGCUAACCUGGGAAUCGGCAUUUGGGACUGCAAGGCUCGAGUGCGGCAGAGGAGACUGGAAUUCCUGGUGUAGGCGGGUGAAAUGCCGCAGAUAUCAGGAGGAACACCAAUGGCGAAGGCAGCGUCCGCUGGGACGGUG
rnacentral:rRNA from 1 species